UACGUAGGAGACGAGCGUUUGUCCGGAAUUACUGGGCGUAAAGCGCGUGUAGGCGGAUGAGCAAGUCUGCUGUGAAAGCUCCUGGCUUAACCGGGAGUGGUCGGUGGAAACUGCUCGUCUGGAGGACGGUAGAGGUAGGUAGAAUUCCCGGUGUAGUGGUGAAAUGCGUAGAGAUCGGGAGGAAUACCUGUGGCGAAGGCGGCCUACUGGGCCGGACCUGACGCUGAGACGCGAAGGCGUGGGGAGCGAACGGG
rnacentral:rRNA from 1 species